GACGAACGCUGGCGGCGUGCUUAACACAUGCAAGUCGAACGGAAAGGCCCUGCUUUUGUGGGGUGCUCGAGUGGCGAACGGGUGAGUAACACGUGAGUAACCUGCCCUUGACUUUGGGAUAACUUCAGGAAACUGGGGCUAAUACCGGAUAGGAGCUCCUGCUGCAUGGUGGGGGUUGGAAAGUUUCGGCGGUUGGGGAUGGACUCGCGGCUUAUCAGCUUGUUGGUGGGGUAGUGGCUUACCAAGGCUUUGACGGGUAGCCGGCCUGAGAGGGUGACCGGCCACAUUGGGACUGAGAUACGGCCCAGACUCCUACGGGAGGCAGCAGUGGGGAAUAUUGCACAAUGGGCGGAAGCCUGAUGCAGCAACGCCGCGUGCGGGAUGACGGCCUUCGGGUUGUAAACCGCUUUCGCCUGUGACGAAGCGUGAGUGACGGUAAUGGGUAAAGAAGCACCGGCUAACUACGUGCCAGCAGCCGCGGUGAUACGUAGGGUGCGAGCGUUGUCCGGAUUUAUUGGGCGUAAAGGGCUCGUAGGUGGUUGAUCGCGUCGGAAGUGUAAUCUUGGGGCUUAACCCUGAGCGUGCUUUCGAUACGGGUUGACUUGAGGAAGGUAGGGGAGAAUGGAAUUCCUGGUGGAGCGGUGGAAUGCGCAGAUAUCAGGAGGAACACCAGUGGCGAAGGCGGUUCUCUGGGCCUUUCCUGACGCUGAGGAGCGAAAGCGUGGGGAGCGAACAGGCUUAGAUACCCUGGUAGUCCACGCUGUAAACGGUGGGUACUAGGUGUGGGGUCCAUUCCACGGGUUCCGUGCCGUAGCUAACGCUUUAAGUACCCCGCCUGGGGAGUACGGCCGCAAGGCUGAAACUCAAAGGAAUUGACGGGGCCCCGCACAAGCGGCGGAGCAUGCGGAUUAAUUCGAUGCAACGCGUAGAACCUUACCUGGGUUUGACAUGGAUCGGGAGUGCUCAGAGAUGGGUGUGCCUCCUUUGGGGUCGGUUCACAGGUGGUGCAUGCCUGUCGUCAGCUCGUGUCGUGAGAUGUUGGGUUAAGUCCCGCAACGAGCGCAACCCUUGUUCACUGUUGCCAGCACGUUAUGGUGGGGACUCAGUGGAGACCGCCGGGGUCAACUCGGAGGAAGGUGGGGAUGACGUCAAGUCCUCAUGCCCCUUAUGUCCAGGGCUUCACGCAUGCUACAAUGGCUGGUACAGAGAGUGGCGAGCCUGUGAGGGUGAGCGAAUCUCGGAAAGCCGGUCUCAGUUCGGAUUGGGGUCUGCAACUCGACCUCAUGAAGUCGGAGUCGCUAGUAAUCGCAGAUCAGCAACGCUGCGGUGAAUACGUUCCCGGGGC
rnacentral:rRNA from 1 species